rnacentral:rRNA from 1 species
CGCGUAGGCGGUAAUGUAAGUCAGACGUGAAAUCCUUCGGCUCAACUGAAGAACUGCGUCUGAAACUGCAUGACUAGAGUGCAGAAGAGGGAAACGGAAUUCCAGGUGUAGAGGUGAAAUUCGUAGAUAUCUGGAGGAACACCGGUGGCGAAGGCGGUUUCCUGGUCUGACACUGACGCUGAGGCGCGAAAGCGUGGGGAGCAAACAGGAUUAGAUACCCUGGUAGUCCACGCCGUAAACGGUGGGUACUGGGUGUGGGAGGUGUAAUGCCUUCUGUGCCGAAGCUAACGCGUUAAGUACCCCGCCUGGGGAGUACGGCCGCGAAGGUUGAA